UACAGAGGGUGCGAGCGUUAAUCGGAAUUACUGGGCGUAAAGCGUGCGUAGACGGCUAUCUAAGUCGGGUGUGAAAGCCCCGGGCUCAACCUGGGAAUUGCAUUCGAGACUGAAUAGCUAGGGUGCGGUAGAGGGAAGCGGAAUUUCCGGUGUAGCGGUGAAAUGCGUAGAUAUCAAGAGGAACACCUGAGGUGAAGACGGGUUGCUGGGCCAACACUGACGCUGAUGCGCGAAAGCCAGGGGAGCAAACGGG
rnacentral:rRNA from 1 species